GAUGAACGCUGGCGGCGUGCCUAAUACAUGCAAGUCGAGCGAACGGACGAGAAGCUUGCUUCUCUGAUGUUAGCGGCGGACGGGUGAGUAACACGUGGAUAACCUACCUAUAAGACUGGGAUAACUUCGGGAAACCGGAGCUAAUACCGGAUAAUAUUUUGAACCGCAUGGUUCAAAAGUGAAAGACGGUCUUGCUGUCACUUAUAGAUGGAUCCGCGCUGCAUUAGCUAGUUGGUAAGGUAACGGCUUACCAAGGCAACGAUGCAUAGCCGACCUGAGAGGGUGAUCGGCCACACUGGAACUGAGACACGGUCCAGACUCCUACGGGAGGCAGCAGUAGGGAAUCUUCCGCAAUGGGCGAAAGCCUGACGGAGCAACGCCGCGUGAGUGAUGAAGGUCUUCGGAUCGUAAAACUCUGUUAUUAGGGAAGAACAUAUGUGUAAGUAACUGUGCACAUCUUGACGGUACCUAAUCAGAAAGCCACGGCUAACUACGUGCCAGCAGCCGCGGUAAUACGUAGGUGGCAAGCGUUAUCCGGAAUUAUUGGGCGUAAAGCGCGCGUAGGCGGUUUUUUAAGUCUGAUGUGAAAGCCCACGGCUCAACCGUGGAGGGUCAUUGGAAACUGGAAAACUUGAGUGCAGAAGAGGAAAGUGGAAUUCCAUGUGUAGCGGUGAAAUGCGCAGAGAUAUGGAGGAACACCAGUGGCGAAGGCGACUUUCUGGUCUGUAACUGACGCUGAUGUGCGAAAGCGUGGGGAUCAAACAGGAUUAGAUACCCUGGUAGUCCACGCCGUAAACGAUGAGUGCUAAGUGUUAGGGGGUUUCCGCCCCUUAGUGCUGCAGCUAACGCAUUAAGCACUCCGCCUGGGGAGUACGACCGCAAGGUUGAAACUCAAGGGAAUUGACGGGGACCCGCACAAGCGGUGGAGCAUGUGGUUUAAUUCGAAGCAACGCGAAGAACCUUACCAGCUCUUGACAUCCUUUGACAACUCUAGAGAUAGAGCCUUCCCCUUCGGGGGACAAAGUGACAGGUGGUGCAUGGUUGUCGUCAGCUCGUGUCGUGAGAUGUUGGGUUAAGUCCCGCAACGAGCGCAACCCUUAAGCUUAGUUGCCAUCAUUAAGUUGGGCACUCUAAGUUGACUGCCGGUGACAAACCGGAGGAAGGUGGGGAUGACGUCAAAUCAUCAUGCCCCUUAUGAUUUGGGCUACACACGUGCUACAAUGGACAAUACAAAGGGCAGCGAAACCGCGAGGUCAAGCAAAUCCCAUAAAGUUGUUCUCAGUUCGGAUUGUAGUCUGCAACUCGACUACAUGAAGCUGGAAUCGCUAGUAAUCGUAGGUCAGCAUGCUACGGUGAAUACGUUCCCGGGUCU
rnacentral:rRNA from 1 species